CGGCUAUCUGAAUGUUUUCGUUAGUCAUCGCGAAGUCAUCAAAUUAAUGGGCAUGGAAGCGGAUUUGUUCUGCGUAUGUGCAUGAAGGCGCCAUCAACACAUGCGCCAUGCAUUUCACGGUACCAGUGCCAGCAGAUGUGCACGCUAGCAGAGUUAGACCGCGUAUUCGAUAAAUUUACUGGGGGAGCGCACCUUUCUUGUUUCCCCUGUACGCAGAAUUUUUUCUGCCAGGCUGUUUGUAUUUGUGUAUGUGGCUGUGUGUGACCCAACUUGUACACCACUCAAAGUCUAAUUUGCACUCCAUUAACUUCCUCGCCAACAUGUAACCAAAAACCAAAACGGCGAGAACAACAAUGGAUUGUACCGAAGGACUUCCACUGCUUACCCAUACAUGCCGACUGCAGUAACCCUACACCAACAACAUGGAUUAUGAGCAAGACCAUCCACGCUCAUCAUACCCGACAAGGGCUAUGUGCCACAGCAAAUGAAGACGUUUCUGGUGCAUUUGCCAUGCACGGCGAAUGGCAACAAGGACGUGCUGCUGGUGAGCGGUCCGCCACGCACUAAUGCUACCAAAUUGCAUUUUAAACGGGAUGAAAUCUGCCUCAAAGGCUUAUUUCCCAAUGAGAGCGCUCUCGCCAGGACACGCGCUGCUGCGUGCAAGCGGCUUCUACACUCUACCGGGUUGUUUGACUGAUUGCGUCCGUCUUGUAUGUGCGCGCAUGCAAGCAGAUACGCCAGGAUUCGCUGCGUACUACAAGUUUAACCACUGCUUAUAGCUUAUAGCAGCCACAUCACAUUGUUUUUUGGAACGUUGGAUCCAUUGGCAAGACC